rnacentral:lncRNA from 1 species
AAAAAUAGAGCUAUGACAAGUGCUUUCGUGGUUCAUCAGAAACUGCUGAUGCAAAUAGCGUAUUCUGUGCUCAACUUGUUGCCGUUCAGUGAAGCACUCAACCCAGCACAGAUAUUUGCAAUUCAUCAGUUAGGACCUAGAUAUAAGGUAGUAAUAACUGUAAUUUUAUAAAUUCUAGAGAGCGUUUUAGAUGUCAGUGCUACUCUUUCGGCAUUCCUGGUUGAACUACUUAAAAGUUCAGUAGCCAUGCAAGAACAGGUGCUGGGUGGAAAAGGCUUUUUAGUUAUUGGCUAAUUACUUGAAACGUCAUCAAGAGUUCAUAUAACUAGACCUGUCUUGGAGCAAUUUUUAUCUUUUGCAAAAUACCUUGAUGGUUUAUCUCAUGGAGUACCUUUGCUGAAGCAGCUUUGUGAUCAUAUUUUGUUUAUUAACCCAGCCAUCUGGAUACAUACACCUGCAAAGGUUCAACUUUCCCUAUAUACAUAUUUGUCUGCUGAAUUUAUUGGAACUGCUACCAUCUACACCACCAUAUGCAGAAUAGGAACAGUUAUUAAAGAUAAUGCACACCUUAAAAUAUUACUACUGGGUUAUUAAUCCUGCUGACAGUAGUGGCAUUACACCUAAAGGAUUAGAUGGUCCCCAGCCAUCACAAAAAGAAAUUAUAUCACUGAGGGCAUUUAUGCUACUUUUUCUGAAACAGCUCAUACUAAAAGAUCAAAGGGUCAAAGAAGAUGAACUUCAGAGUAUAUUAAAUUACCUUCUUACAAUACAUGAGGAUGAAAAUAUUCAUGAUGUGCUACAGUUACUGGUGGCUUUAAUGUCAGAACACCCAGCCUCAAUGAUACCAGUAUUUAAUCAAAGAAAUGGAAUAAGGGUGAUCUACAAUUUAUUGGCUUCUAAAAGUGAAAGUAUUUGGGUUCAAGCUUUGAAGGUUCUGGGAUACUUUCUGAAGCAUUUAGGUCAGAAGUAAAUUGAUAUU